CGUAGGUGGCGAGCGUUGUCCGGAAUUACUGGGGUGUAAAGGGCGUGUAGGCGGGAAUGCAAGUCAGAUGUGAAAUGCCGAGGCUUAACCUCGGAGCUGCAUCUGAAACUGUGUUUCUUGAGUGUCGGAGAGGAAAGUGGAAUUCCCAGUGUAGCGGUGAGAUGCGUAGAUAUUGGGAGGAACACCAGUGGCGAAGGCGACUUUCUGGACGAUAACUGACGCUGAGGCGCGAAAGCGUGGGGAGCAAACAGGAUUAGAUACCCUGGUAGUCCACGCCGUAAACGAUGGAUACUAGGUGUAGGAGGUAUCGACCCCUUCUGUGCCGCAGUUAACACAAUAAGUAUCCCACCUGGGGAGUACGGCCGCAAGGUUG
rnacentral:rRNA from 1 species